GUCGUCGUGGCCGAGUGUUUAAGGCGACAUACUAGAAAUCUGUUGGGCUCUGCCCGCACAGAUUCGAAUCCUGUCUGCGACG
rnacentral:tRNA from 1 species